rnacentral:lncRNA from 1 species
CUCCACAUUGACUCUGUACCGUAAUACCCUGUAUAUAGUCUCCACAUUGACUCUGUACCGGUACCCCCUGUAUAUGGCCUCCACAUUGACUCUGUACCGGUACCCCCUGUAUAUAGCCUCCACAUUGACUCUGUACCGUAAUACCCUGUAUAUAGUCUCCACAUUGACUCUGUACCGGUACCCCCUGUAUAUAGCCUCCACAUUGACUCUGUACCGUAAUACCCUGUAUAUAGUCUCCACAUUGACUCUGUACCGGUACCCCCUGUAUAUGGCCUCCACAUUGACUCUGUACCGGUACCCCCUGU